GAUGAACGCUAGCGGCAGGCCUAACACAUGCGAGUCGAGGGGUAGCAGGAUUAAGCUUGCUUAAUUGCUGACGACCGGCGCACGGGUGCGUAACGCGUAUGCAACCUACCUUAUACUGGGGUAUAGCCCGGAGAAAUUCGGAUUAAUCCCCCAUAGUACUAAUGAAUCGCAUGGUUUAGUAGUUAAAGCUUUUUGGUAUACAAUGGGCAUGCGUCCGAUUAGCUAGAUGGCGAGGUAACGGCGCACCAUGGCUACGAUAGGUAGGGGGCCUGAGAGGGUGGUCCCACACACUGGUACGGAGACACGGACCAGACUCCUACGGGAGGCAGCAGUGAGGAAUAUUGGUCAAUGGGCGCAAGCCUGAACCAGCCAUGCCGCGUGCAGGAAGAAUGCUCUAUGGGUUGUAAACUGCUUUUAUUUGGGAAUAAACCUCUUUACGUGUAGAGAGCUGAAGGUACCAAAUGAAUAAGCACCGGCUAACUCCGUGCCAGCCGCCGCAGUAA
rnacentral:rRNA from 1 species